GUGAUUAUAGUUUAACCAAAACAUUAGAUUGUGAUUCUAAAAAUAGAGGUUAAAACCCUUUUACUUACC
rnacentral:tRNA from 1 species